UUGCUGGGAAGAUGAAGAAUAAUUAAUUAUCCAUGAAACAUUAAAUGGCAAAAUGAACUCCUCUCCUGUUAACGGCAUGUUAAUAGGUCGGGUUGGAAAAGCCUCACUCAUGCUGCUACGAAGCCAGGGAGGCUGUUGGUGGGAUGCAGGGAUGAUUGUUGGUGUUGGAGGGGACAGUGACCAUGCCCAGGCCUCUGUGAGACCCUUUAAGCCAUCGCUUUCAUUGCACGGAUGACCCCAAACAGGGCUGGUCCCAUCUUGGGGGUGUCUAUACCCCAAGACCCCAAAAAGCAGCUGCAUGGGCUCAUCUUGCCUUAGGGUGAAUUUUUGGGGUGCCACUUCAGCCCUGUGCUGGAUGGGAGAGAGAACCUGGUCUCCAUCAUCCCUGCCUUUUGUCCUGCGUUUAAAUUAACCAGAGGCAAUGCUUGAGGCAGCAAGAAAUCCAUUUCCCAAAGCAGCCGGCGCGGGUCAGGAGAGCACAGUAAAAAUGAAAUAUUCCCAGUGCAGGCUGGGAGGAUGGAUGGGAAAACGCGGGGCUGGCACCAGCACAGGGUGGGAUUGAUGGGGAAACAGCCCGGCGCGGGCUGAGGGAGCUGAACCUGGAUCAGAUCCAUGGGGAGCAGGAGAAAUUGGGAAUGAGGAGAUUUGGCCAGGGCCAGGCAGGGCUCAGCAGCUCAGAUCUCUGUACCUACUGUACCCACUGCACCCACUGCACCCAUUGCACCUACUGCACCCACUGCACCCACUGCAACCAUUAUAGAAUCAUAGAAUCAACAAGAUUGGAAAAGAACUAUAAGAUCAUCAAGCCCAACUUUUACCCCAGGACUGCCAAGUCCACCACUAAACCAUGUCAAACCAUUGCAUCUGCUGCACAUGCUGCACCCAUUGCACCCACAGCACCCAUUGCACCCACUGCACCUGUUGCACCCAUUACACUCAUUGCACCCACUGCACCCACUGUGCACUGGGCUGGCAGCUGAAGUACCCCAAAAGCCCAUCACCAGCCAUACAAGCACUUCAUGCCAGGCUGUGCCAGCCUCAUACAUACUCCACCAAAGUGCCAACCGGCACUUAGGAAGACUUAGGGAGCCAGGAUGCUCCCUGGGGAGCCAAGGCCUCGUGGCUGUGGGGAGAGCAGCAUCCUCAUGCCAGCUCUGGCUGUAUUCACCCCAUUUAUUUCCCCA
rnacentral:lncRNA from 1 species